UGUCGUCAUCUUGGAGGGUCACGGUGCAAUGUCUGAGUCAUUCCAGCUCUCUUCUUUCUCCCCACAUCACCCCCCACCACCACCCCAUGACUUUCGGUACUGUCCUGGACUGCCCUCUUGCAGACAGAACUCAACUGUGGAUGUCCAGGCCUAGAAGACUCGCAGAUGCCGGUAACAAUUGGGCUGCAUCGUCCAGGCUGAAACAAAGUUCUGCAGCCCCGUCCUGGGCAUUCCAGUCUCUACUGACAAAUUCCAUAGCUACUUCUUACUGUGCUACAACUUAAACUUCCUUUUUAUUCUUGUGUUGCCUGCCGAGAGCUUUCCUGCUCCUCUUUCACUGAAUGAAGACCAACUUAAAACCCUAAUUAAUAAAUCUCCUGGAUGCUGGUACCCUAUGAAGGGGCCAGGGAUGAAGGAAAUGCUUCAAUUCAAACCCUUUUGCUGGCAUUCUGGCUUGUUUGAUAAAUGUGUGCUCUCAUUGCAAAAAAUGCUCUUGAUUGUUCUAAACAUCCUAAGCACAGUACGCUAACAAAAGAAACUAUUAAGCAUAGGUCCCUCCGUGGGGUGAGAAAAGCUCCACAAAUAAAAUAGCCACAAAUGUGCCUAAUAGAAAAUAGUUUAGAUAGAGAUUAGCUGGUGACUUCUUGUAGGUAAUUAACUUUUAGACUAAGAGCCUGUUUUGUGCCAUAUCUGCUGUUUCUGCAGUCCUUCGCAUUUCUGUUCUAUAAAAAUGUAAUCCUAUCUAGUUCCCAUAGAGAUGACACCUACUAGAAAGAAAAUAGAUUAAUUACAAGAAAAACAGAGUCAGCCACUGAAGUUGCUUAAGUCACACCAGGUGCAAGCCAUAAAAUGUUAGCAGGCCUGAAGGCCAAAUGAUAAGAAAGACUCUUGUGAAUGAAAAGUAUGUGGUUGACAUCCUGUUUCUGUUGAAGGCAAGUUGCUGUAAUGUUUUGAGAUGACCUGUGUGUAAACAAUAUGCACUUCCCCCAAAGAUGUUGUUAAGGGUAUAAAGGGG